rnacentral:rRNA from 1 species
UAGCUUUCACUCAGUGAGGAAAGAVAAGCAACUGCGAUUGCUUCAGUAAUGGCGAAUGAACUGGCAACACAGGCUCAGCCUGAAUGGAAUCCAGCUGCAACAGUGUUGCACCCGGCUCAUGUGAGAUUCAGCAGAUGCUGUGGGUUGAUGGAGCAGGUAGUGAGUCUGGUCAGGCCAUGCACCAAAGAAAGUCCCUGGAAUGGGCUACUACAGAAGGAUACUGUCCUGUAUGGUGCUGAGUGCUGUGGCUUGGCUGGGCUUUGCUGCUUGCAUCCAAGAGUAGAGUUGCUUGGGACUGCAGUUUGAAGUGCAGGGUGUAUCCUCUGCAAGGCAGAAUACUGACAUGGAACCGAUAGCGCACAAGUAGAGUGAUUGAAGGAUGCAAAGCACCUUGCAAAGGGGGUUCAACGUCCCUGAAGCCUCAGCAGGAACAGCGGAGAGUGAUGUUGUGGUUAUCUGGUCGCCAUCAGGCAGUGCUGCCCAGUCUGGCUAGGUCUGGUUGCCACCAGCUGGCUCACUGUCCUGAGACCAGGGUCCAUUGGACCAAACAUUGGAAUCCAAGCAACCUUGGGCUGGCCCAGAGCUGGCUACUGAGCUCCAUCCCAGAUGUUGGAAUGCAUCGUGGCAGUUUGUGGUGACACUCAGCUUGCCUGAGCCUGAGGGCAACAGAUCAGAGAUAUCACUGUUUGAUUGAAGCAAUCUCCAAGAGGAGACAGUUGUUGAGAGCUAUGCCAAACCUGCUGUGUCCCAGGACAUGGCAGUGCAUUGUGCCUUGAAUGUUGAAGCUAGGCCAUGCCGCCUGUUGACCUGCACCAUCCUGAUGGUGGUUCACUGGUGGUGGAAGCUUGCAGAGAGAGUGCAGUGCAGAUGGCAGUGACUUGGUCUCAGGAUCMCUYUUUGCCKU